rnacentral:lncRNA from 1 species
GGUCAAGCUUAUUAGAUACAAAUGUAUAUAACAGAUCAACAUGACUUAUAUCUCCAAUUAAUAUAAAAAGUUCAACAGCAUUUGACAUAAAAACUUAAUAUUUUAACUAUUUAAAAAGAUCACGCUUAUUUAAUCUGUUAAUCUCCUGUAUUUUACAGGCCGGUAAUUUAUUAAUUGCAGUUCAGUAUGCUCAUUGAAAUUGAAGUUAUCGGAAGUAAACAUAAUGUGGGAGGACAAUUGUUUUAGAAUAUUUAUGAACUUUACAAAAGAAAUGCAUACGCAAAGGAACAUGCAUUAACAAAACAUGUAAAUGUAAAAAAAUACGACGUUCUUAUUAGAAGCAAGUGUCACCUUCGGCCAGAGUAACAAAAUAGAAUUCACGGAUAUACAAUUAAGCAAAUAUUUAAUUUCAAUUGUUCGCUUAUUCACUUUAUCAUCGGCCAUCUAUUUUGUAAUAAUAACAAUUUGUAUAACUAAAAAUAAAGAUUUUGAUAAAUGUUUGUUUAAAUUUAACCCAUAUGAUCCCAAAACGUAUGAUCAGCUGGACCGUACGCGUAUACUCAUACGGUCCGACCGUACGAGUAUACGUAUACGGUCCGGACCGUACGCGUACGGUCCAAAUACUCAUAUGGUCUGGAACAUAU